rnacentral:pre_miRNA from 1 species
AAUAAGUGCAGUUUUGCACUAUUCACCGUUCGUCUUGUUUGAAAAAAAAUUAUGAUUAGUAUUUUUAUUGCUAUUAGAUGAUAAAAUAUGAAUAGUACUUUAUGUGUAACUAAAUUUUUUAAAUUUUUUCAUAAAUUUUUUAAAUAAGAUGGAUAUUCACGACUACACUUAUU